GAUCCCAGAGACCCCAAAGUGUCCCAGAGACCCCAAAGUGUCCCAGAGACCCCAAAAGAUCCCAGAGACCCCAAAGUGUCCCAGAGACCCCAAAGUGUCCCAGAGACCCCAAAGUGUCCCAGAGACCCCAAAGGAUCCCAGAGACCCCAAAGGGCUCCAGGACCCCAAAGGAUCCCAAAGAUCCCACAGACCCCAAAGGAUCCCAGAGACCCCAAAAGAUCCCACAGACCCCAAAGUGUCCCAGAGACCCCAAAGGUCCCAGAGACCCCAAAAGGCUCCACAGACCCCAAAGAUCCCACAGACCCCAAAGUGUCCCACAGACCCCAAAGUCCCCCAGACCCCAAAAGGCUCCACAGACCCCCAAAAGGCUCCAGAGACCCUCAGUUUCUAUCGACCCCAAAAGGAUUUUAUGGCCCCUGAAGGGUUUUAGGGACCCCAAAAGUUCCCACAGCCCCCAAGGUUUUAUUGACCCCAAAAGAUUCCACGGACCCCGACGGGUUCUGCAGACCCCAAAAGGAUUUUAUGAACCCCAAAAAGGAUUUUAUAAAACCCAAAAAGGAUUUUAUGGACCCCAAAAAGGAUUUUAUGAACCCCAAAAAGGAUUUUAUGAACCCCAAAAAGGAUUUUAUGGACCCCAAAUGAUUUUAUGGACCCCAAAAAGGAUUUUAUGAACCCCAAAAAGGAUUUUAUGGACCCCAAAUGAUUUUAUGGCCCCUGAAGGAUUUUAAGCCCCCACCCCAAAGGAUUUUAAGGACCCCAAAGGCAUCCACAGACCCCAAAAAGGAUUUUAUGAACCCCAAAAAGGAUUUUAUGAACCCCAAAAAGGAUUUUAUGGACCCCAAAAAGGAUUUUAUAAAACCCAAAAAGGAUUUUAUAAACCCCAAAUGAUUUUAUGGACCCCAAAAAGGAUUUUAUGGACCCCAAAAAGGAUUUUAUGAACCCCAAAAAGGAUUUUAUGGACCCCAAAUGAUUUUAUGGCCCCCCCCAAAGGCAUCCACAGACCCCAAAAAGGAUUUUAUGGAUCCCAAAAGUUUCUGGAGACCCCAAAGAUUUCCAGGGAUGGAUUUUGCAGCCCCAAAGGUCAAAGGUCAGCGGGGUUUUAUGGCUUUGGGGUUUAAUUGCUUUAGGGUUUAAUUGCUUUGGGGUUUAAUUGCUUUGGGGUUUAAUUGCUUUGGGGUUUAAUUGCUUUGGGGUUUUAUGGCUUUGGGGUUUAAUUCCUUUAGGGUUUAAUUGCUUUGGGGUUUAAUUGCUUUGGGGUUUAAUUGCUUUGGGGUUUUAUGGCCCCGGGUUUACACCCCGAUGUGUGAAAGUGCCUCCUGCCAUAAAGAUCUGGGAACUUUUAUGGGUUCGGCGCCUUCCUGGGGCAGCGAGGGCGGGGUGGGAUUGGGGCUGUGCCGGGA
rnacentral:lncRNA from 1 species